rnacentral:tRNA from 2 species
GGCAGUAGCUCAGUUGGUAGAGCAUCAGCUUCCCAAGCUGAGGGUCGCGAGUUCGAGUCUCGUUUGCC